GAUUUAGCUCAGUUGGUAGAGCAAGGCACUCGUAAAGCCUAGGUCAUAGGUUAGAUCCCUACAAUCUUA
rnacentral:tRNA from 1 species